rnacentral:rRNA from 1 species
ACACGUAAGGGGCAAGCGUUGUUCGGAAUUAUUGGGCGUAAAGGGCGCGUAGGCGGUUUUACAAGUCUGGUGUGAAAGAUCUCAGCUUAACUGAGGGACCGCGCUGGAAACUGUAAGACUAGAAUCUAGGAGGGGAAGCUGGAAUUCCUGGUGUAGGGGUGAAACCCGUAGAUAUCAGGAAGAACACCGGUGGCGAAGGCGAGCUUCUGGCCAUAGAUUGACGCUGAGGCGCGAAAGCGUGGGGAGCGAACAGGAUUAGAAACCCCGGUAGUCC